AGUGAACGCUGGCGGCGUGCUUAACACAUGCAAGUCGAACGAGAACGGGUUAUAGCUUGCUAUAAUUGUCAGCUAAGUGGCGCACGGGUGAGUAAUGUAUAGGUAAUAUGCCUCUUACUAAGGGAUAACAAAUGGAAACGUUUGCUAAUACCUUAUACUCCUUAUUAACAGAAGUUAAUAAGGGAAAGAUUUAUUGGUAAGAGAUUAGCCUGUGUUGUAUCAGUUAGUUGGUGGGGUAAUGGCCUACCAAGACUAUGACACAUAACUGGUUUGAGAGGAUGAACAGUCACACUGGAACUAAGACACGGUCCAGACUCCUACGGGAGGCAGCAGUGGGGAAUAUUGCACAAUGGACGAAAGUCUGAUGCAGCAACGCCGCGUGGAGGAUGACACAUUUCGGUGCGUAAACUCCUUUUAUAUGAGAAGAUAAUGACGGUAUUAUAUGAAUAAGCACCGGCUAACUCCGUGCCAGCCGCCGCAGUAA
rnacentral:rRNA from 1 species